rnacentral:rRNA from 1 species
ACGCUGGCGGCAGGCCUAACACAUGCAAGUCGAGCGGUAGAGAGAAGCUUGCUUCUCUUGAGAGCGGCGGACGGGUGAGUAAUGCCUAGGAAUCUGCCUGGUAGUGGGGGAUAACGUUCGGAAACGGACGCUAAUACCGCAUACGUCCUACGGGAGAAAGCAGGGGACCUUCGGGCCUUGCGCUAUCAGAUGAGCCUAGGUCGGAUUAGCUAGUUGGUGAGGUAAUGGCUCACCAAGGCGGCGAUCCGUAACUGGUCUGAGAGGAUGAUCAGUCACACUGGAACUGAGACACGGUCCAGACUCCUACGGGAGGCAGCAGUGGGGAAUAUUGGACAAUGGGCGAAAGCCUGAUCCAGCCAUGCCGCGUGUGUGAAGAAGGUCUUCGGAUUGUAAAGCACUUUAAGUUGGGAGGAAGGGUUGUAGAUUAAUACUCUGCCAUUUUGACGUUACCGACAGAAUAAGCACCGGCUAACUCUGUGCCAGCAGCCGCGGUAAUACAGAGGGUGCAAGCGUUAAUCGGAAUUACUGGGCGUAAAGCGCGCGUAGGUGGUUUGUUAAGUUGGAUGUGAAAUCCCCGGGCUCAACCUGGGAACUGCAUUCAAAACUGACUGACUAGAGUAUGGUAGAGGGUGGUGGAAUUUCCUGUGUAGCGGUGAAAUGCGUAGAUACAGGAAGGAACACCAGUGGCGAAGGCGACCACCUGGACUAAUACUGACACUGAGGUGCGAAAGCGUGGGAGCAAAC